GCUUGGACCCCAGGCCCAGACGCUACAGUUCGCCGCGCUACGUCCCGCAUCUCACCCCCACUCCCUACUCCAUAGGGCAGAGUUAUACCCAGGUCCCACGUGCUCCGACUUGCAGAAGGGAACACCAGCUUGCAGACCCCCGCCCUCGCUCCAAAGCGCCUCCAUAGCUGUCCUCAUCCCUUUCCGUGCCACACUCAUAGCCCAGGUGCGGAUGACUCGGAGGAACAUUGAUUACGGGCUUCCGCAUGGUUUCCAGUGACAGCACAGACCACAAACAUGCCAUCCAGCUACAGAAGAAACAAAGACCCAGACAAGGCCCUCAGAGGCAGCCUGGACCACUAGCAUCAACAUGGCCUCAGGAGGCUGAAGUUAACUGGAUCAUUUGCUGCUCAUGGGCCAAGAAAGACAAAGCAAGGAGUGGUUAAUAAAAAGUUGAUGGAUU
rnacentral:lncRNA from 1 species